GGUCGCAUAGCUCAGCCCGGUAGAGCACCGUCUUGAUAAGGCGGGGGUCGUUGGUUCGAGUCCAACUGUGGCCACCA
rnacentral:tRNA from 1 species